UUUUUUUGCUUAGUUACAGUGGAAUCGUUCUGAUCUUGAGAAACGCGUGAGAAACCAGGAGGAUCGGGGAAGUCCCGAGAAGAAGGAGCCGCUGAAUUGUCAGUGAAAUCGACUGCCCAUCUACGGCCCGAACCCAUCACUGCUUUUCCUUUGUCCAUGUCUUGCGAUGUUAUUGGAACAAGAGGACUGACAGAUACUGUAUAAGUCUCCGGUUCUCUCUUCUUUGCACAGUUGUGUUUGGAGUUUACGAAGUGCUAGUAUAGCUCCGGCGGUACAAGAAGACGUCUGGCCAGGGAGAGAGGCGGCUUUCUCCUUUUCUUUUGUUUUUGUGUGCGUUUUGGUUGAGAC
rnacentral:misc_RNA from 1 species